rnacentral:rRNA from 1 species
AAAUUGAAGAGUUUGAUCAUGGCUCAGAUUGAACGCUGGCGGCAGGCCUAACACAUGCAAGUCGAACGGUAACAGGAAGAAGCUUGCUUCUUUGCUGACGAGUGGCGGACGGGUGAGUAAUGUCUGGGAAACUGCCUGAUGGAGGGGGAUAACUACUGGA